CACAGGCUAAAUUGCUUUACAGGAGAAACCAACAUCAAAUAAUACAGGCAUAUGAUCAGAAACCACACUAUCACAGGUCUCCAAAUUUAACACAGACAAGCCAUGAGAGAGAACAAGGUCUAGUGUAUGUCCAUGUUCGUGUGUGGGACCAGACACACACUGCACAAAAU